CCGAUGCAUAGGGCACCCGCCUGGGCACUUCCUCCGCAUUUCCUCAAACACUUCGCGCGCGCCGUCGCCGCCCGCCCUCGGCCCCCGCUCCGCUCCCAACCAGGCUACCGUCCUCCGCCGCGGCGUCCAAGGUCCAACCCGAGCACUCACGCCUCCGCGGCCGCGAUGCAGAAGGUUCGGCUCAAGUGGGUGAAGAACCGUGGCCUGGACCACCUGAUCACGCGCACCACCUCUAUCCGCGCGUCCUGCCUCCUGCUGGACCACCUCGCGCGCCUCCCCGCCGCCUCCCUCGUGCCGGCGCGCUCCCUCGCGCGCCUCCAGAAGCCGCUCGGCCUCACGGUUCCUGUGCUCCGCUUCCUCCGCCGCCACCCCACUCUCUUCGCCGAGCAACCGCAUCCGCGGUUCCCCACGCUGCCCUCCUUCUCCCUCACCUCCGCCUCCCACACCCUCCUCGCCCGCCUCGCCGACGCCUCCGCACGCGACGCGCACAUCCGCCUCGCGCGCCUCCUCCUCCUCACCCGCUCCAGGUCGCUCCCGCUCGCGUCAGUCCUCCCGCUCCGCUUCGACCUCGGCCUGCCGUUCAAUUUCGCCGCGGCCUUCCCGUCCUCCCACCCUGGAACCUUCGCCGUCGCCAACAACCGCAUCUCGCUACUCUCCGCAUCCGGCCUCCCUGACGGCAUUGCCGUCUCCUCGCUCCAGCGCCGCCAUGCUGCGGCCAUCGACGCUGUGACCUACCGCGCGCUGUCGCGGCCGCCUUCCUCGUCAAGCGCGCCACUCGCGUUCCCGAUGCGGUUCCCGCGAGGGUACGGCGGGAUGAAGAAGGUCAACGCCUGGAUGGAGGAGUUCCACCGGCUUCCCUACAUCUCGCCGUACGACGACGCGUCAGGGAUCGACCCAGACAGCGACAUCUACGAGAAGAGGAACGUCGGCUUGCUGCAUGAGCUGCUCGGGCUGACGGUGCACAAGAUGGUGCGCAGGAACGCGAUCCGGCUGCUCCGGGAGGAGCUGGGCCUGCCGCACAGGUUCACGAGGCUCUUCACGCGGUAUCCCGGGGUGUUUUACCUGUCGUUGAAGUGCAAGACAACGACGGUGGUGCUCAGAGAAGGGUACGAGAGAGGGAAGCUCGUGGAGCAGCAUCCCCUCGCAGCGAUGAGGGACAAGGUGCACUAUGUGAUGCGCACCGGGGUGCUGUACCGCGGGAAGGGCUUGUCCAAGCUUGUUCUGGAUGACGAUGGCACUGAGGAAGACGGUGCACUGGAUGGAGAGGAGGAGUUUCAAGGGGAGGGGAUGGAUGAGGAUGCUGAUGUCGAAUGCUUUGGAAUGGAGAUUGUGGAUGAUGACGGGCCUGCUGAUGACGGGGAAGAUGAAGGCGAUAGUGAUUGUUGACAUGGGCUGAUGAUCUUGCAUUCUGAAUUUCGCUGUUUUGAGAUUGUGGCUUCACUCAUGAUUCCAGUAACUGGGUUCAAUUCAACUUAGUGGCCCCAAAGGAGAAGUGCUGCAAAGCUAUUGUAGACGGCUAUCUGAAGCAAGAAGCUGGAGUGAGGCUGGAGCCAAACAUCUAGUUGCCUUUUUACCUGCCAGCAUGUAGCCCUUCUGAAUUGCCCUUUUAUUUAGUUGGAUCUUGUGGGUUUCAUCUCUAGCCUACCACAACUUACUUGGGACAAGGGCUGCUGCUGCUGCUGCUGCUGUUGUUCUCCUGGUGGCAUAGCCACCUGUAAUUUUGCUCCUUCCGCUUAAAUGCUUAAUAUAUAAAGCCGGCAAUGCUGGAUCUUUUAAAAAACUAUGGAUUUGGCCCGGAAAUGAAAUAUGAAUAUGGCUAGUUUAUUCUGAGCUCAUUUCAGCUAACUUAGUGUUACCCAGGAACCUUUGCAGUCCUCAUGGCAACCUUUGAAGACAAUGUAAUCAAAUUUGAUGUAUUGAAUGUCUUAAUGUGGUGGUGCAACACACCUGAUUAUUGGCUGGUGCGCUAGGAUUUGAAACAGAAGCUGUUUUUCAUAGAGAUGCUUCUCUGUUAAGUUUCAUACUUUGUGCUACUGCCUACCAGACCUAAGUCUACAGCUUGUGUGGUUUCACUGGUUUGCAUACGAUCUUAUCCCUCUGUUUGCUCAUAUUUAUUAAAACGGCAAUCCAAUCCUCUUGUGUGUUUCAUUUCCUAUGGAAUUACUAUCACAGUAGCUGUGGCAACACACGCGGUCUUUGAGAUAUUGUUUUUGCUUUUAAGUGACUUCAAAUUGAUGAUAGGUGGGAACAACAUUCCAAGAACAAAGCAGUGGCUAGUGACCUCUCCAUUUAUUUCAUUUUCUUUUUAGAGUUAUUGGUCCCUGAGAUCCGUGUGUUUUAUAUUUAUUUAUUGCUUGCAUUACUCAAUUACUGUAUUCUCAAUUAAUGUAUUCUCCAACAUGGCACAUGUUAUGUUAUUUCUGUUGGUUAUAAACUGCAAUCUCCAACAUCCCAAAAUUUGGACCUUUUCUGCAGAAACUCAGCCAGCCUAGUAUAUCAGAUAAACAAGUCACCAACUAAGAAAACAAAAAAGAGCGUGUGUGUGUGUGUGAAGCUGCACGGCAGAUCUAGAGGCUGCAACUCCUGCCUGCCGUGCUAGAGCAACCAUGAUGAACUGUGCGGUAAAUAAGGUACAUUCAGGCCAAAGCUUCUCUUGACUUGUCAUGGUGGCGGUUAAGGGGAACCCCACAGCCUCACGUUCUCACAGCCUUUUUAUCAGGCUAAAGUAGCUGGGCAUCAUAAGAGAGAUGAGAGCAUAUGCAUGCCCCAGAAGACCAGAAUUGGACUCUGCAACUUUCCUGGAUUCCAAUGCCCAGAUGGAUGAAGGGCCAGGGAACAACCAGAAAAGGAGGAAACCCAUUUAUUACUUGGGUAGACAUACUCUAUGUCUAUUUGCCAUGAACUUUGUCAAAAAUAAUUGGCCCUGGGGGGGCACUGGUUGUUGCUUGAGUAGGGGUAAUCCCAAUGCCUCAUACUAGCUUAACUAAUGGGGCCAGCUGAUAUUAGAAUGCAAAGCUAAUCAUUACAUCUUGUCUCCUCCUUGAUGAUGAUCCUUGGCUUUUGCACCCCUCCUUUUUCUACUGUUCAAAGCGCGCAUCAUAUUGCCUAGGGCAGAGAGCAUAUUGGGAAAAACUAGUAGAAAGAAAUCAUGCUGAAAUAUUCAGCAGUAUACAUUAUGAAACCCUAAGCUGUUGUCCUAAACUAAUGAAGUGACUAAUAAAACCAAACCAUAGUCCAAAAUACGUUUACCCCAUGGUACCAUUCACCAAAAAUUUCAACCAUAGCAAUUCUUAAGCCUGCCGACAUGAACUUAAAAGGAGGAAGUAAUCUAAUUCAUGAGACUGGCAACAACAAAACAAAAAAAAAUCGUCUCUGCUUUUCCUUCAGGGUCACAUGAGAACGAGGAGCUAUCGUUCACACCAUACAUCUGAUCAUGAAGCUGAAUCUGCAGGCGUGCUGACGGUGCAUAGAAACUGCCACUGGAAAAAUCUGGUUGCAGAAUUGGGCAGUGUGGAAGCAUGAGAAUCCUGUGGUACCUGCUCAUUGCAUGCACAUACGAUGGAUCGUUAUCCAGGAUUCCAGUGGUAAGCUGCACAGCGACACAAGGUGAUGGAUCAGAAGGAGCCUGCGGCAAACCUGAUUGUUUCGGUCAACAGAUAAAACUAGUCUAAAAAGCAGGACAGGUACGAUACCAUAUGGUCCUAUAGGGCACGGGAGAAGAAAGGGAGGCAAAAGAGGACAGCCUAUGUAGGAUGAGUUGACGAGUUGCCUUCGUGUCCUGACAACCACUCCCACAUUGUGCAUCACGGGCAAUCACGCACCUUAUCGUAUCCAAAGCCACAUAUAUUCGGUAGAUCCAUUGAUUAGUCUGCUAAUUGCGGUGCUCUCACUAAAAAGAUGCUAUAGCAUUAUGCGCCACUUGGUAGGUACGACAUAUACCAAUAAGAGACGCCAUUGAUUUUGAGGAUGUGACUUGCCCCUUAAAUUUCCCUUGCUUAGCUUCUUUCUGUAGAGAGUCCAGUAGUAGUUUGUUACCCGGGGAUGUAGUAGCAAUUUUCUUCGCUUGAAGCUGUGAUAUUCUUUGCUAAUAUGUCUCUUUAGAAUGAGCUUGCUGAACUAGGUCGAUUUGCCUGCGCAAUUUCACUAGUUCACGGACUUUCCAUUCUCAACCUUGGGGCUGACAAGGUUUUCAUCUUC